AUUGAACGCUGGCGGCAUGCCUUACACAUGCAAGUCGAACGGCAGCACGGGGGCAACCCUGGUGGCGAGUGGCGAACGGGUGAGUAAUGCUUCGGAACGUGCCUAGUAGCGGGGGAUAACAUAUCGAAAGCUGUGCUAAUACCGCAUACGAUCUACGGAUGAAAGAGGGGGAUCGCAAGACCUCUCACUAUUAGAGCGGCCGAAGCCUGAUUAGCUAGUUGGUGGGGUAAUAGCCCACCAAGGCGACGAUCAGUAGCUGGUUUGAGAGAACGACCAGCCACACUGGGACUGAGACACGGCCCAGACCCCUACGGGAGGCAGCAGUGGGGAAUUUUGGACAAUGGGGGAAACCCUGAUCCAGCCAUGCCGCGUGAGUGAAGAAGGCCUUCGGGUUGUAAAGCUCUUUUGUCCGGAAAGAAAUCGCUUAGGUUAAUACCUUGAGUGGAUGACGGUACCGGAAGAAUAAGCACCGGCUAACUACGUGCCAGCAGCCGCGGUAA
rnacentral:rRNA from 1 species